rnacentral:tRNA from 1 species
AGUCGCGUGGUCUAAUGGUUAUGAUUUCUCGUUCACAUCGCAAGAAGUGUUAGCUGGCUUAGCGCCGAGAAGGCUCCCGGUUCGAUCCCGGGCGCGACUA